UUUUUAACAAGAAUGAACAGUUAAUAUUACAUUAGAUAUACCUGUAUCAGCUAUCUUCUAUAGAAGGCAAUCGGCAAGGCUGUUGUCCUAUCUUUCUCCACUGUCAUUAUAACAUGAACCUCUCUAUAGUAAGCGAAGACAUAAGUGUACAUCAGCGUUUGCCGACAUUGACAUAAAAUAUCAAAAGAGUUUUUAAAUUUUGCCCUUACAGGAAUAUAAUAUUAAUGUUAAAUGUAACAUAAUUAUAAAUUAUUAAUGUAUAUUGUUUGCAUUAGGUUUGUUUUUGUGUUAUUUUUGUGUAUUGAUCUGUAUGACAAUUGUCAAUAUUAUUUUAUUAUAAUCAAUGACAUGUAUGAAUGAAUAAUAUUAGAUAAAUAUCAAAAGUUUUUCUAGAAAUUGCUGCUCGAUCCAGGAUAUGUUACAUCUCUUCCAUGUUUUCAUUGAUGAAAGCUCUACACCUCGUGGAUCAAUAUGCAAUUUCUAAAGAAUCCUGUUGAUAUUUUAUACCUAUGUCGGCAAAUGCUGGUGCAAUCUUAUGCCUUCGCCUACUAUGUACUUACGCAAAAACAGUGAAUCAAUCUUUUUUGAGGAUAACCAUAAAGAGUUAGUUAUUCUUGUAUUCUUGCCUGUUGACCCUAGUGCCUCUGUUUCGAAUAAAACAAGUUAUUAGAAGUAAUAGUAAAAUGAAAUACAGUUGGCUCUUUCUAAUCCGAGUGAUGGUUUGUUUACAUUUUAUUGUGAUUUGGAUAUGAAAUUUUCCAAAGCUAAGUUUCAAGUUUCAGACGAUUACUUAUGCACCACGCUUUUUGAAACUUUUUACUGGUGACAUUUUCCAAAGUAUUUCGAUUUGGAUACUGCCAAGUUACCAAAGGCGUUGCACCCUUCAGUCUGCUAGAGCUACCUGGUCGCGGGUUCGAAUCCCAUCGAAUAGGCAUCGACUCACACUUCCCAUUACCCACUCACAAGCAAAAAGCUUAUGUGGGCAAUUUAAAAAAAAAAUUCUUAGGAAAAACUUUUUAUCAUUUUUACUUUUUGAGAUAAGAAUUUAGAAAAUUUAUUUUUGAAAAAAUAGCCGAGAUUGAUUUAUUUUUUAAACUAAAAGAAAUGUCUAAAAUUCACAUUCUAAAAAAUCAAGUGUCGUUCGAUAAGCAAUAGCUUGAAGAAUUUAUCUUCUAAUUAUCAUGAAUUUAUAAGCUACUAAAUCUGAAAUGGAACCCCAAAGUUUCCAACUUCUCACCAUAGAUCACAGACGCUCAUGUCUAAAAAGUAAAAAUUAAAGUGAUAAAUACUUUUUCUUUGAAAAUUAUACCAUUUUGGUUACUUAAUAGUAUCAAAAUUGAAAGUUUUCAAAAGCGUGGUUAACAGCCUUAAUUCGAGUUACCUACUUUGAAAAGGAUAUAUGAAGAAUCUUUUGCAAUAAUCAACAUCUAUAGAAAUUCUUCAUUUUUCGGAUUAGAGGGAGUCUAACAUAGUUCACUGUAAUAUAUAUAUAUUUGUGAAGAGCAUUAUGAAAGAUUAGAAUGUAUUAGAUAUUAUAAAUUAUGAGUAAGAUUAAGUGUGCUUGAAUAAUACAUUAGCACUAACUAUAGCAGAUAAAAAAUUUAAAUUUCCAGUUAAGGAUUUUACUUGAAUGUCAAAUAAAAAUGCAAUGGAUCCUAUUUGCAUAAAAAAAUCAACAAAUUUUUGUUUGCAGUUGAUGAAUUUUUAAUAACCUCUAUUAUUGCAGUAUCAACCUGUAGCUUUAAAUUAUAAUUCAGUAAUGGCAUUCGCACAAAUAUUUCUCACUUUUGAAGUAAUAUCAUAAAUAUGUUCACAUUCGUUCAUUUCAAAUUGAUUCCUUGACGAUUGCAUAUCUCUUGAACCACAAUUUCUUUAAUAUUUCAACGAUAAAUUAGAUUACAGUGUAAUAAUUUUCUUGACACAAUCCUCAAUAAAUUUUUGUUGUACCAAGAAAUAAUCAAAGUCCCUCUCUAUAAUCAGUAAUAUAUUAUAUUUAUUACUUUAUCAUUACCAUUUAAAAUGGUUGAGCCUCACACAUGGCAAUUUAUUAUCACAUGUGUUAAUACCUUGAGAAAAUAACCUAUUUGAGUGGGAACCAUAUAAUUCACUUUUACUUCAUCAGUAGCUUCCUUUCAGUAGUCUUCUUCAACCUCUUUUAGGCCACCAAAUAUAACAUUUAUAAAUAAUGGCGUAUAGUUACAAUUUUGAUUAUUCAUCAAUUUGUAGCUGUAAAGAUAUAGUUUUUACUACUGUAACAUUAUUUUUAAGAUCGUAAUAUCACUAUUUUAAUUAUUUUUCAAUAUUAAUAGCCGAAGAUUCAUAGUUUAAACAUCUCAAGAUCUUUUGAGAUAAAUCAUAGAAUAUAUUGAUACAAUUUGAAUAGGAAUGAAUUAGAAAAUCUUACAAAUAAUACUGAUUUCUAGAAUUUAUUAGUAAUAAUGAUGUUCUAUAAUUUCAAUUUAGAAUGUUAGUUGUUGAACUAUGCAAUUUUGAAAAUUGGAUUCUAUAAGUUGAGUUUUUAGAUGACACAGUAGACAGUAGAUAUAAGGUAGUAAAGGCCUCACCUAUAACUUUGAACGCGUGUAAAAAUAAUUUUCCCAUCUCCUUAAUCAAUAUUUACUGUUAUUUCGUAGCAUUCUUGACUCCUAUUAUUUUAUCAGUCUAUGAUGCUACAAUAAUGCAUAAAAUUGUACCCAUUAUUUAACUUAAUCAUUAUAUCACUAACAUCUAUUGUCCAUACAAAAUUACUUUUGACUUGGAGGGAUAUGCAGACCAGAGAAAUGGAGGGAGAUAAGUCAAUUACAGUGAUGAAUAGAGUCAUAAGUAGAAGCGCAGUUGCCAAUUUGUCAGUCGUCUAAAUGCUUUCAGAGAGUUAACUUCGUAUGUGUAUCAUGAGGACUUGUACACUCACAAGAAAUUGGAGAAAGCCGGCAAUUUUAGAACGGCCGCUGUACCCCUACUUUUCUCUGCUGCGCAUAUCCCUCCAAGUCCAAAGUAAUUUUGUAUGGACUAUAAAAUCACUAAUAUCUUAUGUGAUUUCUAAACCGUACGACCACAGGCUACAAGAAAAACUUGAUCUUUGUCGGCAUCACCCUCUGCAAGAAAAAAAUGUUGAAAUCCAUCACUGCUUAUUGGAAAUUAUACUAUAGAUAGCCAUAGAAUAUAAAUCAUGAAACAAUGAAUUAUCUCAGAGUAAAUUCCCUAAUAUAAAUAAUAUUACAAUUACUGUAACUAGAAUCAUUUUAUGCUUUUUCAAUCCACUAACACAAUGUUCUAAUCCACUAACCAAUAUUUUUUAACUUAUUCAAUAAGUUUUGAAAAUAUUUGUAUAUUUAUCCCACUAGAAAUUCAGUUUUAGUUUAUAUUAACUUCUCUAGAUAUAUGAAAUACUAAGAAUCCUUCUAUUAAAAAAACAAAACACGUUUACGUGCUUGUUUAUUUUCUUAAUACUUUGAAUAACUGAAUUUAGAUUAUUAUAAAAUUUAUAAUUCAAUUCAAUCAAGUAUUUUUCUCAUUGAAUAACAAGUAUUUAGGUUCAGUCUUUUUGCACAUUUGAGAAUUUCAUAGGAACUAGUUCAUUUCGAACGUUCUUUCAAGCAUUAUUUAUUUUUUCUUUUAAAUCCGAAACAUUAUCAUUCUCAAUUACUUGAUUUCUCACAUAGGUAUUGAGUAGGAUCAAGUUAAGAAAUAGAAAAUUGUUGUGUAUUCUCAU
rnacentral:lncRNA from 1 species